GGCUUCGUAGCUCGGCUGGUAGAGCGCUUGCUGCGUUAAGGCAUGGUGUUUCUGUCGCCGGUGUGAAUCCAGCCGAAGCCC